AUCACUUCUCGGCCUUUUGGCUAAGAUCAAGUGUAGUAACAUAGGAAGAACAGUAAAAUAAUUUAUAUUCCAAAGCUGAAUGUAAUUGAUAUCAGAGCUGAUUCUUUACAAAAAGCUGUCUGGCUUCCUAAAAAAUUCAUAUUUUGAAAACCUGUCAGUCUAAUUGUUUCUGGAGAAGGUGAACUUUA